rnacentral:rRNA from 1 species
UACGUAGGCAGCAAGCGUUGUUCGGAGUUACUGGGCGUAAAGGGUGCGUAGGCGGUCCUAUAAGUAUGGUGUGAAAUCUCCCGGCUUAACUGGGAGGGUGCGCUAUAGACUGUGGGACUAGAGUGUGGGGAGAGGAAAGUGGAAUUCCUGGUGUAGCGGUGAAAUGCGUAGAUAUCAGGAGGAACACCGGUGGUGUAAACGGCUUUCUGGACCAUAACUGACGCUGAGGCACGAAAGCGUGGGUAGCAAACAGG